rnacentral:rRNA from 1 species
AUGGAGGCCUCGCUCCUCUCGCGUGCCGCCUCAGCCGCCUUCGCCCUCCGCGGUGGCGCCAGGCUCCUCCCCACGGAAACCCCCUUCCUCCUCCCCCUCCUCCCGCUCCUCCUCAUCCUCCUCGCCACCGCCACCGGCACGCUUCCUGUGGUCGUAACCCUGCCACUGCAACCACCGCCUCGAUCCACCAGGUACUUGAUGCCUCUUGGUCAGAAGAUGAUGGCGAGUUCCUCAUUCCAAUUGUGUUUAUAUUGUGUAGGUUUCUUCGUCAUGAUCUGGAUUGCCGCAGUCAUGUUCAAGUCUAAUGAUAUCUUGAACAAGAAGACCGCUCUCAAGGGGGAGAAGAAAAUGCCAAUGCUUAUAGGGAUUGUAGUACUAUUCACCAUUCAUGUGUUUGGAGUCUACUGGUGGUACAGGAAUGAUGACCUUGUUAGACCGUUGGUGAUGCUUCCUCCAAAAGAAAUACCACCAUUCUGGCAUGCUAUAUUUUCACUGCGGUAA